rnacentral:sRNA from 1 species
CUUCCUCGAUCUGCUGCGGGCAGAUGAAAUGAAUAUGGGCAUCCAUACCGCCGGCGGUGAGGAUUUUGCCUUCGCCCGCGAUGAUUUCCGUGCCGGGACCAAUGAUGAUCGUCACGCCGGGUUGCGUAUCGGGGUUGCCGGCCUUGCCGAUUCCGGCAAUCAGCCCAUCUUUUAAACCGACAUCGGCUUUAUAAAUACCACUGUGAUCGACGACCAGUGCAUUGGUAAUGACUGUGUCGACGGCACCGUCUGCACGGGCAAUCUGGCUCUGGCCCAUGCCAUCGCGAAUG